CCAUUGGAUUUGCGAUGGGCACCUAAUGUGGCUGGAGAGGAUCUGAAUCUCUUAAUCAAUCGUAUUGACUCGGUCAGUAUCCGAUUGUAUGUCAAUAGGUUGGACCGGAUUUCAUGAAAGUACGAAAGUUAGAGAUGACGUGUUUUAGGGUUUUUAACCAUGGAAAGUUGGUAUCUGAUUAAAAGAAAAUCUCAUCCGUUCAAAUUCAGAAGAUUAAUAUGAACCGUUGAAUGUCGUGGGUUUCUGGCUAUAAAAUAAUUCGGAGGGUUCAACCAUGUGGGUGCCUUUAGAAUUCAGAUCAUUAGGGUUCCGUUGGAGGCGUUCUUCGGAGUCUUUUUGGUUUCGAAAGGGAAGGAUUUACCUCAGGUCUCUGCUCUCGGAGUACAAAUCUCUGCAAGGUUUCUUAACAUUGAGGCAGAGUUUGAAUAUUAAAUUGAAUCUUCGGUUCGAUUUUAUCAGUUGUUGCAGGGUAGACGAUCUCGAUAUCAUGGUGGGAGGAAUUUUUAUGGGCAGAGUAAUGUAUUAUGUCGUUAAUGAAUUACUUGUCAAAUCUCUUGCUAGCAAGUACAUGCCUAGGUUUUUUAUGUUCGUUGCAUCCUUUGUUUUAUAAUCGCUUUCUUAAAGCUUCUUAAUCUGAUCGACGGGAUCUAUCUAAUUCCCGAUUGAUUCGUUCCCUUGAAGCAAAAUUGUCUCAACUCCUCUCUAUCAGUUUCUCCUGCUGUGAAUUAUUUUUCUCCAGCAGGUCUAGAAGGUUGAGAAGAUUAUAUAUCUGAGUAAAUGUUUUUGGCUUCAUCAACUAGCCAUUGUGGAUCUUUUAAUUCCCAAUGUGAUCGUUCCCUUGAAGCAAUACAAAGGGAGUGUUCUUUUCUUUUGAGGUUUUCUCUCAGUUCCUGCUGUAGCUUUGGGAAACACUGGAGCAAUCACAAUACUUUAAUUUCUAAUAAAUUUCUGAUUUAAUAUCCAUAAAAUGGUUUAGUAGAUCUUGCUGAAAUGAAUAAUGGGUAUAUGGGUUUCUCGAGCAGAUGACAACGAUGAUGAUUAUAGAGACCUGAAAAGAUUUGCGGAAGUGAUCGCAACUUUAUUAAACAUCUAAGGGACUGAGUUGAUCUAUUGAGAAACCUUUGCCUUUAUUAGUGUUUGAUUUUUUUUUUUCUUUACUGGUUUUUAAAAUGUUGAAUGGUCUUUAUCGAUGAUGACUCCAUAGACCUGUACUGAAUGCGGAGAUGACCGCACCAUAUACAUCUAAGGGACUGAGAUAACUGUUCUAUUUAAUUCUGUGUUUUUGUUAAAGCUUCAUUUUUUUUGUAUUCUUAAUAUGAGCUGCUUGAGUUUUUAAUAUUUCAGUGGCAUUAUCAGUGAAGCCACAUGAAUGUUCCUCUCGCUAUCCAGUGUGAUUACAAUGUUGCAUUCGGACGUUGGGGACCUACAUGGUUUUUUUGCUAAGAUCAAAUUAAAGGUUCUUUUAAUUUUUAUCGGCUCAGCCUGUUUGAUGUAUUGGUUUGUGCCUGUUUUUGACAUCACUAACCAAGCUUUAUCACCUUAUGUUUCGGUGCCAGUGUAACUUGCAUGUGGUUGGUCAAUAUUUUACUAGUCGCCCUCUGUUUAUUGAUGUUUUCUUCCUAUUUCUUUUGAGCUUUUUAUCAGUACUUUCUUUCAAAUUGAUUGCUGUGAGUACAUUUCAAAUAUGGGCAUGUGAUUUUCUUUUAAGGUUGUGGUAUUUGUAGAAUUUAUUCUUAUUUUUGAUGGUGUUGCGAAGGAGGGAACUAAUGAUUUUUUGUUUGCAGGUUUGUGGAAAAGUAGGAAAAUUGUAAGAACAGUUAUGAUUCAUUGAGGAAUUUGAGAAUACACAAUGACAAGGAAAAAGUAUUGAAGCUGUUGCCCGAGUCCUAUGCGGGAUGAAGCCAGCAAAAGUGGACGGAUGGAUAGGAAGCGGAAAAAAUCUGGAGUGACUCAGAAGAUCUGCAAAACCUUCUCUUUAAACAAUACUACAAGCUCGUGGCUUUCGAGUGCUAUUCCUCUAUUUUUUACCACUGUAAUUUCCACAUUUACCCUCAUUUUUGUCUCAGGCCUACUAACUAUUUGGUUCUCUUGUGGAAAAGUUUAGCUUCUCUGGUGAUGAUUAAACGAUCUAAGAUUUGAAACUCAA